ensembl:lncRNA
UGAGCAUUUCUUACCAUUUAUUGCAUUGCUUUCUUCAGUGAAAUACAGACUGUAUAAAACGCCAAAUAUACCAAAAGCUAAAUGAAGCAGUGAUUUACGACUAUUUAACCGUGUGUUAAUCCUUACUGAAACAUUCAAACUACAAACAUUUAACCAGUUAAACAUAAUGAAUACAUGACAACUAGAUACAAACAUUUUAUAAAAAAUAAUUCAUACAAAAAGUCAAGAGUUGGCUAUAACAUGAGUACAAACAAAGUGAGUGUGUUUGUGUACAUUAUAAAUUCCCCAUCAUAAAAAUGUAUCUCCAUUCCCCAAUCAAACACCUUCAUCGACACCAAAAGCAAAACAAAAAAUGUGUACUUUUUCUCCAAUCUGGCAACCCAUAAAAUUCUACAUAGCCUUGUAUAAAAUGCAUUAUGAAGAAAAUCGUUUGUCAGAAUUAAAACUGGGAACUCACAGCCUUUAUCCUGCCAUGAAUAAGUACAACAGUGAUGGGUUUUGUGGGAUUGAAAGGUAUGUCAAUGUUACAUUUACCAGUCAUUUUUUACAAAAGAGAACAUAGAUGUAAGGUUGUAAGGCAAUGUCAAAAUCAGUUCAGGGUAACAAUGGAGUCCCUAACUGUGAUUGUUUUUUAAUUAAAAAUUGUUUUAAAAAAUAAAAAUAAUUAGCUUCUCAGCAAAGAGCAAUUGCUCAAGCAAGAAUUUUGCAAUGACUGUCUAGGAGUGGUGUGAGUGGAGGAGGGGAACCUAGCUGUUAUUGGCAGAGAGGGUCUGAGUGGGGAGGGAACCUAGCUGUUAUUGGCAGAGAGGGUCUGAGUGGGGAGGGAACCUAGCUGUUAUUGGCAGAGAGGGUCUG